rnacentral:rRNA from 1 species
CUACGGGUGGCAGCAGUGGGGAAUAUUGCACAAUGGGCGCAAGCCUGAUGCAGCCAUGCCGCGUGUAUGAAGAAGGCCUUCGGGUUGUAAAGUACUUUCAGCGGGGAGGAAGGGAGUAAAGUUAAUACCUUUGCUCAUUGACGUUACCCGCAGAAGAAGCACCGGCUAACUCCGUGCCAGCAGCCGCGGUAAUACGGAGGGUGCAAGCGUUAAUCGGAAUUACUGGGCGUAAAGCGCACGCAGGCGGUUUGUUAAGUCAGAUGUGAAAUCCCCGGGCUCAACCUGGGAACUGCAUCUGAUACUGGCAAGCUUGAGUCUCGUAGAGGGGGGUAGAAUUCCAGGUGUAGCGGUGAAAUGCGUAGAGAUCUGGAGGAAUACCGGUGGCGAAGGCAGCCCCCUGGACGAAGACUGACGCUCAGGUGCGAAAGUGUGGGGAGCAAACAGGAUUAGAUACCCGCGUAGUC